rnacentral:rRNA from 1 species
CGUGCCUAAUACAUGCAAGUCGAACGCAUUGUGGUUGAAAUGAUAUGAAGAACUUGUUCAGAUUUGAUUUUCAACAUUGCAAUGAGUGGCGAACGGGUGAGUAACACGUGGGAAACCUACCUCUUAGCAGGGGAUAACAUUUGGAAACAAAUGCUAAUACCGUAUAAUAAUUAAAACCGCAUGGUUUUAGUUUAAAAGAUGGUCUUGCUAUCACUAAGAGAUGGUCCCGCGGUGUAUUAGUUAGUUGGUGAGGUAAUGGCUCACCAAGACAAUGAUACAUAGCCGAGUUGAGAGACUGACCGGCCACAAUGGGACUGAGACACGGCCCAUACUCCUACGGGAGGCAGCAGUAGGGAAUCUUCCACAAUGGACGAAAGUCUGAUGGAGCAACGCCGCGUGUGUGAUGAAGGGUUUCGGCUCGUAAAACACUGUUGUAAGAGAAGAAUGACAUUGAGAGUAACUGUUCAAUGUGUGACGAUAUCUUACCAGAAAGGAACGGCUAAAUACGUG